rnacentral:tRNA from 1 species
CGGGCUGUGGCGCAGUGGCUAGCGCGCUCGGUUCGGGACCGAGAGGUCGGGAGGUCAAGUCUCCCCAGCCCGA